rnacentral:rRNA from 1 species
CCUACGGGUGACAGCAGUGAGGAAUAUUGGUCAAUGGACGAGAGUCUGAACCAGCCAAGUAGCGUGCAGGAUGACUGCCCUAUGGGUUGUAAACUUCUUUUAUAUGGGAAUAAAAUGUUCCACGUGUGGGAUUUUGUAUGUACCAUAUGAAUAAGGAUCGGCUAACUCCGUGCCAGCAGCCGCGGUAAUACGGAGGAUCCGAGCGUUAUCCGGAUUUAUUGGGUUUAAAGGGAGCGUAGGUGGAUGGUUAAGUCAGUUGUGAAAGUUUGCGGCUCAACCGUGAAAUUGCAGUUGAAACUGGCAGGCUUGAGUGCAGUAGAGGUAGGCGGAAUGCGUGGUGUAGCGGUGAAAUGCUUAGAUAUCACGAAGAACUCCGAUUGCGAAGGCAGCUCACUGGACUGCAACUGACACUGAGGCUCGAAAGUGUGGGUAUCAAACAGGAUUAGAUACCCCUGUAGUC